rnacentral:rRNA from 1 species
AGUGAACGCUGGCGGCAGGCCUAACACAUGCAAGUCGAACGGAAGCACAGGAAGAUCUUGCUCUUACGGUUGGCGAGUGGCGGACGGGUGAGGCGUACAUCGCAAUCCACUAUUUCGGGGGGGACUACGGAGGGAAAGUGACGCUAAUACCUCAUAUGACCUACGGGAUAAAGCAAGAGAUCUAGGGAGCUUUGGUGAUAGAUUGAGCCGGUGCCGGAUUAGCUAGUUGGCGAGGUAAAGGCUCACCAAGGCAACGAUCCGUAGCUGAUCUGAGAGGAUGAUCAGCCACACUGGAACUGAGACACGGUCCAGACUCCUACGGGAGGCAGCAGUAGGGAAUCUUCCACAAUGGGCGAAAGCCUGAUCCAGCAAUGCCGCGUGAGUGAAGAAGGCCUUCGGGUUGUAAAGCCCUUUUAUUAGGAAAGAACAACAGCAGGUUAAUCCCCGGCCGUUCUGACGGUACCCAAAGAGUAAGCACCGGCUAACUUCGUG